CGUCCGUCCCAAAAUAAGGUUAUUUUUUAGUUUUGACUCUUCGUCUUAUUUAAAUUAUUUUUGCGAUUAAUAUUUUAAUUGUUACUAGAUAAUAAAAUAUGAAUAAUACUUUAUGCGUACUAUUUUUUUAAGUUUUUUAUAAUUUUUUUAAAUAAGACGAAUAGUCAAAGCAUUGGGCAUAUAAAUGAAAAAAUGACAUUAUU
rnacentral:pre_miRNA from 1 species